rnacentral:ncRNA from 1 species
UUAUUGGAGAGUUUGAUCCUGGCUCAGGACGAACGCUGGCGGCGUGCCUAACACAUGCAAGUCGAACGGAGUAAGUAGCAAUACUUACUUAGUGGCGAACGGGUGAGUAACGCGUAGAUAACCUGCCUCUAAAAUGGGGACAACACCGCGAAAGUGGUGCUAAUACCGAAUGUGGUAUCUCGGUUGCAUGACCGAGAUAAGAAAGAUGGCCUCUAUAUAUAAGCUAUCGUUUAGAGAUGGGUCUGCGUCUGAUUAGCUAGUUGGUGAGGUAAUAGCUCACCAAGGCGACGAUCAGUAGCCGGUCUGAGAGGAUGAACGGCCACACUGGGACUGAGACACGGCCCAGACUCCUACGGGAGGCAGCAGUGGGGAAUCUUCCGCAAUGGACGAAAGU